CGGCACGGGUGAGUAACACGUAUCCAACCUGCCGUCUACUCUUGGACAGCCUUCUGAAAGGAAGAUUAAUACAAGAUGGCAUCAUGAGUCCGCAUGUUCACAUGAUUAAAGGUAUUCCGGUAGACGAUGGGGAUGCGUUCCAUUAGAUAGUAGGCGGGGUAACGGCCCACCUAGUCUUCGAUGGAUAGGGGUUCUGAGAGGAAGGUCCCCCACAUUGGAACUGAGCACGGUCCAA
rnacentral:rRNA from 1 species